CCUACGGGAGGCAGCAGUGAGGAAUAUUGGUCAAUGGGCGGAAGCCUGAACCAGCCAAGUAGCGUGCGGGAUGAAGGCCCUACGGGUCGUAAACCGCUUUUGCACGGGGAUAACACCCUCCACUUGUGAAGGUCUGCAGGUCUCGUGCGAAUAAGGGCCGGCAAAUUCCGUGCCAGCAGCCGCGGUAAUACGGAGGGCCCGCGCGUUAUCCGGAUUCAUUGGGCUUAAAGGGAGCGUAGGCGGGCGUUCAAGUCAGCGGUAAAAUCACGCGGCGAAACCGCGGCCCGCGGUUGAAACUGGACGCCUUGAGUUAACAACAGGCAGGCGGAAUUCGUGGUGUAGCGGUGAAAUGCAUAGAUAUCACGAGGAACCCCGAUUGCGAAGGCGGGUUCCUGGACAUUAACUGACGCUGAGGCACGAAGGCCAGGGGAGCGAAAGGGAUUAGAUACCCUAGUAGUC
rnacentral:rRNA from 1 species